rnacentral:rRNA from 1 species
UGUGGUUAAAUNCAUAUAGCAGGUACAGAACUGUAAUCUCGGACAAAUUGUGCAUUAUUAUUCUUUAAAGGUUUUUAUCUUUUGGCAUAGUAGUGCCUUGUGCAUAUGGGGGGGUCGUGAAGACUCUAUUCGCGAGUAUUUGAUCUCGGAAGGGCAAUGAUGAAUGUUGAACUAUCAGACAUUUAACGAUAAGGUUGUGUGUCAAAAGGGAAACAGCCCAGAACAAGUGUUUAAGGUUCCAAAGUUUUUGUUAAGUGAAAGUAAGGAAGUAUUUAAACGAUACAACCAGGAAAUAGGCUUAGAAGCGGCCAUUUUUUAAAGACCUCGUAACAGAGCACUGGUUCAAUAGGUUAAUUAAAUUAACCUUUUUAGUUAAAAGCGCCGAAGAUAUAACGGAUCUAAACAAAACACCGACACCUUGUCCAUAAUUAAUUUUAAUGCUAAAAUAAAUUUUUAGUAUUACUUUGUUAUCAAUAAUUUAACAAAGUAUUACGAUUUUUAAGUUAAAUUUCUAUUUUAUGGGGUAGCGGAACAUUGGGUAAAUAAAAUCGGUAACGUUUUUAAUUUUAUCGAAGGAGUUCUUGCGUCUUUUACCCAGACUACCACCCUUAGUUAAGUCUGAGGGUAGUAGCAAGACGCGGCAACUAAAGCUAAGAAAAAAAGACUUUUGUUGGGACUUUCUGGUAUUUAGUGAAGAAUAGGUAUUUUACUUAGUAAAUCAAUAGCAACUAACCUAUAUAUCCCAAGUGAGAAUGCUGACACAAGGUAACGAAAAAGAGGAAAAUACCUCUCGCCUUAAGCUUAUGGUAUAGUUAUACGAACUAGAUACAAAAAAAAUCUCAAAAUGAGAAACGUAGCUAGUUCUAGAAAGGAAAAUAUAAUCGGUCUCUAAAUUAGAACCUACAGGUUAAAAUGAUGAGAAUGUAUAUGUAAACAUAAAAUAUAUGCUUUUGCACUAAAUGUUUCAUUUUUAUAUAAAAUAGUAAUCUUUUAAAGUAAUUAUGCUUUAAUAUCCAAGAAAUUGGAUAAUGAUCUAUGAAGAAAUAUAUAGAAGUGGGAUUUUAAAUUUAGUUUAAAAGCAUUUGAGAUAUAUGUUCUGGAAAACACAAUACAUGCUUUUUAGUAACUCGUCUUAAACGAGCGAAAGUUUGAAAAAACAUAAAUUUUUUAGUUAAAUCUAAUAAGUACCGUACCUAAAAACUACCACAAGUAAGCUAGUAGAGAAUACGAAGGCGUUUAGCUAACAAUC